rnacentral:ncRNA from 2 species
GCGCGGCCAGAUCGUGCCGGUGCCCCUUUUUGGGGCUUCGAAAGGGAAUGCGGUGCGGGCGGUUGCGAUCGUCCAAAGCCGCGGCUGACCCUGCAACUGUAAGCGGCGAGCUUGCGGGCCAUAUGCCAUUGGGAUCGACGUCCCGAGAAGGCGGCCUGUGCGGCGCUGACCCGCGAGCCAGGAGACCUGCCGGCGCGGGUCGCUCUUG